UACAGAGGGUGCGAGCGUUAAUCGGAAUUACUGGGCGUAAAGCGCACGUAGGUGGCGACGUAAGUCGGGUGUGAAAGCCCCGGGCUCAACCUGGGAAUUGCAUUCGAGACUGCAUUGCUGGAGUACGGAAGAGGAAGGCGGAAUUCCCGGUGUAGCGGUGAAAUGCGUAGAUAUCGGGAGGAACAUCAGUGGCGAAGGCGGCCUUCUGGACCGACACUGACGCUGAGGCGCGAAAGCGUGGGGAGCAAACAGG
rnacentral:rRNA from 1 species